rnacentral:rRNA from 1 species
UACGCAGGGGGCUAGCGUUGCUCGGAUUGACUGGGCGUAAAGGGCGCGUAGGCGGUUCGUACAGUCAGACGUGAAAUUCCUGGGCUCAACCUGGGGGCUGCGUUUGAUACGUGCGGACUUGAGUGCGGAAGAGGGUCGUGGAAUUCCCAGUGUAGAGGUGAAAUUCGUAGAUAUUGGGAAGAACACCGGUGGCGAAGGCGGCGACCUGGUCCGAUACUGACGCUGAGGCGCGAAAGCGUGGGGAGCAAACAGG